CUUCGGCCCAAAUCCCUGCUUGAGGAUGAGAACAGAGCUGUCUGUGAAUGGUGAGCUUGAUUCAGUAGCUUAUGGAGGCUUCAGGAUUGUAAUCGACUUCAAAGCUGACAUGCAUGUUGAGAUUGACACCCAGAGAAUCACUGUAGGAGAGGGACAGACGUUGACACAGCACACUGGACAGGACCUCAUCACAGUUGUAAGUUUGACAGUGAUUAGGCGGGACAAGGAAGUAGAUGUUGCAGCUGGAGACACACGCAUGGUCAUCUUGAUUCAUAAGUGAGGUGACAAAGAAUUCAUCUGGCCUGUUUUAAGACAGCAGCCAUCGGACAACAACGUUUCAGGAAUUUUAGCCAGCAGUUUAUGAGGAGAUGCAGCAAACUCCUUCAACAAAACUUAAGAUCAAAGACCAGGAGAUUGAUGCUACCAGAUCCAUUGCUGUUGACUACAGUAUUGUCUCUGCCCUGACACUGGACUGCUGGCUCAUGUCUGCUGAGUCUGCCCUGAGACACCUGAAUGAUUUCAUGGUUAUACAACUUUAACUGGGAAACAUGAAUCACUUCAAAUAAAGCAAACACUGAUUUUUGCGAACAUCAACUAACAUCAACAAAUAAAUGGUUUCAUAAUUCUUGGGUUGUGUU